GGUUAACGCUGGCGGCGUGCCUAACACAUGCAAGUCGAACGGUUCUAAGCGCGAGCUUAGGAUAGUGGCGAACGGGUGAGUAAAAGGUAGGAAUCUACCCCUUGGACGGAGAUAGCUACUGGAAACGGUAGGUAAACUUCGAUAAGCCCGAGAGGGGAAAGUGGUGAGACAGCCGAGGGAUGAGCCUACUCUCCAUCAGGUAGUUGGUGAGAUAAAAGCUUACCAAGCCGAUGACGGAUAACCGGUGUGAGAGCAUGAACGGUCACAAGGGCACUGAGAGACGGGCCCUACUCCUACGGGAGGCAGCAGUGGGGAAUCUUGGACAAUGGGCGAAAGCCUGAUCCAGCGACGCCGCGUGGAGGAAGAAGUCCUUCGGGAUGUAAACUUCUGAACUAGCCGAAUAAAAGGACCUGUGGACACACAGGAGAAGAAAGUAAGGACUAGGAAAAGUACCCGGCUAACUACGUGCCAGCAGCCGCGGUAAGAGUACUCUAU
rnacentral:rRNA from 1 species